AUUUCUAUUAAUUAUACUCAAUGAUCCAUCUUUAUUAAUCGAAAAAUGUAGACCCAAUACCCUAAGACAUAUCCAAAACUCAAAAAAAUUUGUUGUGCCGAAUGCUAGGAAUUUUUACGGAGCUAGAAUGUUAAACACUAUUAUACCUGCAUUUGUUAAUGAACUUCCCGAAGACCUACAAGAGUUAUACCUGGACAAACGAAAAUAUAGAAGAUCACUAAAAGAACAUUUACUAAAAUCUUUAAGCGUUUAAUAGUUACAAAAUUUUGGUAAUUACCUUAGUUUAAAUUAAAUGACUAUAACAUGGUACGGUACGAUAAAGAUAUCAUAUGAUAAUAUGAUAUGCGACGCGGCGGCUUGUCCGGAUAAGCUCUUGUGAGUUUUCGUGGCAGGC